GCUGCAGCUCUGGGCGCUACUGGGCUGGCUCUUAAACUGCUGGGGGUCUGGGGGCCUGGGAUCUUCUCUCCCACCACUCCCACCACCUCCCCCUCUCGGAUGCUUGGAGAAGGUAACUCUCCGUCCGGGGAAUACCUGCACGGGCGAGCCCCGGGGCUACCUAGCCGUCCGGGAAAAGCAGGAACUACAAGAGGAGGGAACAUGUUCAUGACUGAGAGGGUGUCUAAGCCCAGACACACUGACUCAGGAUCCAUCUGAGCCCAGGAGGGUGGGCAUGGUGAACACACUGUUUCCCAGGUCUCCUGACUACCAUGAUGCAAUCGCUUUGCAUACAGAUGAGAAAACGCUGGGAUAGUUUACCAAAGGAUGUUAUAUAAACUAUAUUCUGGAGAUCUUUAAGAAGAAAAGAUAACCACUGGACCUGGAUGGUUUAGUUAUUCACCUGCUUUGAAACAGAGGACUGGAAAGGAGUAUACGAUUCAAAUAGCACUGCUAAGCAAUAUGAACUGAAUUCUGUUUCCAUCACAAUUUUGAGUGACAGUGACUAAAAUAAACAAUUUUUAAAAUCAUCAUUCAAAUGGUUAUUUUAGGGAUUUGCUUUAAGGUGAGACCUUACCUCCUAAUUAGUCUCUGCUAGAAAUCCUGGAGUGAUUAUCUUAUUACAACGUCUUUUCAGUUUUCUCUUUUUAAGAGGAAGUGUCAAGAGGAAGUGUCUUUUUAAGUGUCAGCUUUAGGAUCUUGCAAAGCAUAGACAUUUAUUAUAUUUGAAGCCAAAAGGCUAAGAUAAAUACAUUAGCCAGCUGUAAUGAGACAGAAACUUCCCUAUAUGUAGAAAUAUAUACAAACACUUCCUCAGACAUAAACAAUUUGAUUUGCAAGGGUCUUAAUGGUUAAAUAAGGCAUCAGGUCCCCUUCCCCCUUAUGACAUGUGACAGAGCAUCUCCAGGCACCUAUGUCUCCCCAAAUGCAUUUGUCUUUAGACAAAAAAAGUGUCUAAUAUUUGGAGAUCCCAAAAUCCUAGAAUCCAAUUCUAGAGAUAGAGAUUCAAGUUUAAUAAUUUCUGGAAUAGGUUAGAGGUGCUGAAGAAUGCUAAGCAUCUAAUUUAUUCAAAAACACCUUAGCAACAUGGGAAAUCAAACAUUAUGACAAUUGAUUAUGACAAUCCUUUCCCAUCUGCAUUACCCUUCCACUGGAUUUGUACCCUUUAUUCACCCCCAUCCUCAGCCCCACAGCACUUGUGUACAU